rnacentral:rRNA from 1 species
ACGCUCGACACCUACGGGAGCAGCAGUGAGGAAUAUUGGUCAAUGGGCGCUAGCCUGAACCAGCCAAGUAGCGUGAAGGAUGAAGGCUCUAUGGGUCGUAAACUUCUUUUAUAUAAGAAUAAAGUGCAGUAUGUAUACUGUUUUGUAUGUAUUAUAUGAAUAAGGAUCGGCUAACUCCGUGCCAUCAGCCUCGGUAAUCUGAGCGGGCUGGCAAGGC